UACGAAGGGGGCUAGCGUUGCUCGGAAUCACUGGGCUUAAAGCGUGUGUAGGCGGACUUCUAAGUACCUUGUGAAAGCCCUCGGCUUAACCGAGGAAUUGCGCUCUAAACUACUGUGCUUGAGGAACCUAGAGGUGAGCAGAACUGAUGGUGGAGCGGUGAAAUGCGUUGAUAUCAUCAGGAAUACCGGAGGCGAAGGCGGCUCACUGGGGGUUAUCUGACGCUGAGGGACGAAAGCCAGGGGAGCGAACGGG
rnacentral:rRNA from 1 species